rnacentral:misc_RNA from 1 species
AACAUCGCGCACCUGCGGGAACCUGCGGAGGGAUCAUUACCAAUUAUCCCCUACCAUGGAUAAUUUAAUCCAUAUCCACCUUGUGUGAAUCAUUGCAUGUCUGUUGGCAGGUCUUCUCGGCCUGCCAAUUUUAUUCGUUUAAACUUGUCUAAGUAAUACCACUCGUCUGAAAUCUUAUAUAUGUACACAUAACAAAUACAACUUUCAACAACGGAUCU